rnacentral:rRNA from 1 species
CAAGAGCGUAUAUUAAAGUUGUUGCAGUUAAAAGCUCGUAGUUGGAUUUCUGGUACAACGCGCCUGGCCCGCUUUAUGUGAGUGCCGGUGCGCGUUUGCCAUCCUUCUAGAAAACGUUUCUACCUGGGCAACCGGGCCGGACUCGCGAUCUAGAUCUUUUACUUUGAAAAAUUAGAGUGUUUAAAGCAGGCUUUUGCUGUGAAUACAUUAGCAUGGAAUAAUAAUCUAGGACUUCGGUUCUAUUUUGUUGGUUUCCGGUAACUUGAGGUAAUGAUUAAGAGGGACAGACGGGGGCGAUUCGUAUUACGGUGUUAGAGGUGAAAUUCUUGGAUCGCCGUAAGACGAACUACUGCGAAAGCAUUUGCCAAGAAUGUUUUCAUUAAUCAAGAACGAAAGUCAGAGGUUCGAAGACGAUCAGAUACCGU